GCCGGGCAUGGUGGCCUGUGCCUGUAGUCCCAGCUACUCGGGAGGCUGAGACAGGAGAAUCGCUUGAACCCAGGAGUUGGAGGUUGCAGUGAGCCGAGUUAGCGCCAUUGUACUCCAGCCUGGGUGACAGAGUGAGACUCCGUCUCAA
ensembl:misc_RNA Metazoa_SRP Metazoan signal recognition particle RNA